rnacentral:rRNA from 1 species
UCGAUACUUGAAUAAGCAAACCGCGAACUCGUUUGAAUAUUUGGGGCUCGUUGUGUGGGGUAACUCCACAGCGUGUCCUUUUCUCGCGUGAACAAUGCUCAUUGGCGAGCAAACAAACUCCGGCGCAAAACGCGCCAAGGAAAAGUAAUAGGAGCAUCUGCCCUCAUCGCCCCGUUUGUAGGGUGCGAGAGGGGCAAAAGAUGUGCCUUGAAUGUCUAAAUGACUCUCGACAACGGAUAUCUCGGCUCUCGCAACGAUGAAGAACGUAGCGAAAUGCGAUACUUGGUGUGAAUUGCAGAAUCCCGUGAACCAUCGAGUCUUUGAACGCAAGUUGCGCCCGAAGCCUCCAGGCCGAGGGCACGCCUGCCUGGGCGUCACGAAUUGUGUUGCCCCUUCCUCUGGUUAAUGGAUGAGGUGGAUAAUGGCCUCCCGUGUGCCUCAUCAUGCGGCUGGCUUAAAUGAAAUUACGUGGCGACCACCGUCAUGACAAUUGUUGGUUGAGCACUCUACUCUCUACUUUUGUGUUGGAUGGUGCGCUUUGUCCUCGUAGACCCGACGGUGUGACAUUCUCACGCCAUUGAUGCGA